UGCCUGACGGCCAUAGCAGAGUGGCCCCACCCCUUCCCAUUCCGAACAGGACGGUGAAACGCUCUCGCGCCAAUGAUAGUCGGUUGUAUUUCCGGUGAAAGUAGGUCACUGUCAGGCU
rnacentral:rRNA from 1 species